rnacentral:lncRNA from 1 species
ACUCUGGCCGACAUCAAGAGAGCCGUACCGCCACACUGUUUCAAAAGAUCCCUCGUCAAAUCAUUCGCCUACCUAGCCUACGACAUCACCGUCAUCACAAUCCUCUACCACAUCGCCAACACAUACUUCUACCUCCUCCCCAAACCUCUCUCCUACGUGGCGUGGCCCGUCUAUUGGGCCGCCCAAAGCUGCUUCUUCGUCGCUGUAUGGAUGGUGGGUCACGAUUGCGGCCACCAUUCAUUCAGCGACUACCAGUGGGUGGACGACACUGUCGGAUUCGUCGUCCAUUCGUUCCUCCUCACCCCUUACUUCUCGUGGAAGCACACCCACCGCAGCCACCACGCCAACAACGGAUCUCUAGAACGCGACGAAUCUUUCGUCCCCAAGACCAAAGACGAAGUCAGGUGGCACUUCAAGUACCUCGACCACCUACCGGGGCGAAUCUUCUACGUGUUCUUUACUCUAACCCUAGGAUGGCCUCUCUACUUGAUGUUCAACAUCACCGGAAGGCCGUACAAGGAUGGAUUCGCUAGCCAUUUCUACCCCAUGUCGCCUAUGUACGAGGACCAUGAGCGGUUUGGAGUAGUCCUGUCCGACAUGGGAAUGCUCGCUAUGUGGUUUACGCUCUACAAGCUCUCGGUGGCGUUCGGAGUCACUUGGGUUCUCUGUGUGUACUUUAUUCCACUAGUUUUACAAAACGCGUUGUUUGUUACGAUCACUUACUUGCACCACACGCAUCCAAACGUGCCUCGUUAUGACUCUUCGGGGUGGGGUUGGAUGAGGGGGUCGUUGGUGACCGUGGAUAGAGACUAUGGGUUUUUGAAUAAAGUGUUCCAUAACGUGACGGAUACUCACGUGGCGCACCAUCUGUUCACGCAUAUGCCUCAUUACCACCAAUUGGAAGCUACCAAGGCGUUCAUCCCGAUUUUGGGAGAGUACUACCAGGCUGAUCCAACACCGUUCUAUAAAGCAUUGUGGAGAGAAAUGAAGCACUGUGUUUAUGUCGAACAAGACAAAGAUGCAAAUGUCGAUCAGAACAAAAGAGGUGUGUAUUGGUACAAAACAAAGUCGUGAUGUGACUAAGAUUUGUACAAACUUGUGAUAUGUCGUGUUCUAGUCUCAAGAUUUAUGUGUUUGUCUUUUUAUAUUUAAAUUUCAUUGUUUCUUAAUCUGUUACGCAAUUGUUAUGUUAUGUCGUGAAAUAGUUAUAAAUAACAGUAUAAUGUACGGGAUUCAUCCUAGGUUGGGGAUGCAUGCCACGUAUAUAGAGGAAUCGGGAACAAUUUACGAAUACUUAAUGUUUGAAUGAAGAAAUUAAAACAAAGUAUUUCCUAAGAUAAGUGAAUCCAUUAUAUUGAUUGUUUUUUUUUUAAUAAUACUUAUUUUGUAUCAAAAUUUAUCAGAGAUAGGAAAGUCGAAUUAUUAUUUUAUUUAUUUAGAACCGAUAAAAUAUUAUUAAUUUGAUAAUCUCAAUUGGGCAUUACAUUAUCCAAUNNNNNNNNNNNNNNNNNNNNNNNNNNNNNNNNNNNNNNNNNNNNNNNNNNNNNNNNNNNNNNNNNNNNNNNNNNNNNNNNNNNNNNNNNNNNNNNNNNNNNNNNNNNNNNNNNNNNNUGGUGUGAGUAUGUUAUUAAUUAUUAUCAAUAUAAUUGGCAACUCCUAAAGUAAAUUCCUGACGUCGUCACUAAUUAUAAAGUGGGUAGUUAUGAUUAAACUCUAAAAGUAUGAUAUAUAAAAUGUGCCUGAAGAUAGAGCAAUAUUUUUAAAAGAAAUUUUAAAAAUUAUAUGAAUGGCGAUUUAUAUUAUAAAGUACGUCAAAUAUAGUGCUCAAACAUUCGUAAUUGUUUAAUUCAAAAUACAAGUCCAUACGUUGUAUACUUGAAGUUUUUUCAAAUUGACGGUUUUCAAACUUUUAAGUAGUCAAUUACGGUUAAUCGAAAAUAUCUUUUCAAACAUUUACUUUUAGAUACCAAUAAAAUAUGACUGAUUCAUUAAAAGCAUAUUUAGACGGUAAAACUAAUCUUUACUCCGACCGUUUAUUCGACAUAAAUUUCGACUCAACGCUAAUUCUAAUUAAAAAUAAUCAAGUGGACAUGUGAAAUAUGUGGUCCCGAAUUGAUGAGCUUAGGAUCUGGCCUAUGAUGCUUAAGAUCUGAAGCGUUUGUAAUCCUCCAUCAUCAAAGGUUAGGAUUUUUCUAUAAUCGGUUACCGAACAAUCAAUUAUUCAUAACGACCCCGCCCAAAUCUCAAUUAAGAAGCUAAACAAGUAAAAGUAGCUAGCUUCUCUCAUUCAAGAUAAGUCGUUAUUUAAUCAUUACACCUAUGGACUUCCGAUAUACUUCUCUGUUUCCCAGUACUCGUAGAUAUACGCCUUACCCGAUAGGUUAAAACUUACCUGGAAUCACUACAUUGAACAAACCGGUUCAUCAAAGAGAACUGAACUGCCGAUGAAGACUAAGUGUAUUUUAACAUUUUAAUAUUUCUGUCCUAUGAUCCAAACCGUUAAAUAAAAUAAUAUAAUUACAUCUAACGGCUAAAAUGAUGUUGUCCGAGCUAUUAAAGUAUCUAUCUCCUCCUUGAUGCCACAUCAAAAACAACCCAUUCCCCUUUCUUGUUCAGAGUAAUCGUUGACUUUUCCACAAAACCACUGAACAACACUAAAAAAUGGUGUCCUCCGGCAAAACCAUGAGCAACAAAACCACCACGAAGCGGCCGCCGGUGUCAAAACCGCCGUUCACUCUGGCCGACAUCAAGAGAGCCGUACCGCCACACUGCUUCAAAAGAUCCCUCGUCAAAUCAUUCGCCUACCUAGCCUACGACCUCACCGUCAUCACAAUCCUCUACCACAUCGCCAACACAUACUUCCACCUCCUCCCCAAACCUCUCUCCUACGUGGCGUGGCCCGUCUAUUGGGCUGCCCAAUGCUGCUUUUUCGUCGCUUUAUGGAUGGUGGGCCACGACUGCGGCCAUCAUUCAUUCAGCGACUAUCAGUGGGUGGACGACACCGUUGGAUUCGUCGUCCACUCGUUCCUCCUCGCCCCUUACUUCUCGUGGAAGCAUAGCCACCGCCGCCACCACGCCAACUCCGGAUCUCUAGAACGCGACGAGUCGUUCGUCCCGAAAACCAAAGACAAUAUCACCUGGCACUUCAAGUACCUCGACCACCUACCGGGGCGGAUCUUCUACGUGGUCUUCACUCUAACCCUCGGAUGGCCGCUCUACUUGAUGUUCAACAUCACCGGAAGGCCGUACAAGGACGGAUUCGCCAGUCAUUUCUACCCCAUGUCGCCUAUCUACGAGGAUCACGAGCGGUUCGGAAUAUUCCUCUCUGAUGUUGGCAUGCUCGCUAUGUGGUUCACACUCUACAAGCUUUCCGUGGCGUAUGGAGUCGGUUGGGUUCUUUGUGUGUAUUUUAUUCCGCUGGUUUUACAAAAUGCGUUGUUUGUCACGAUCACUUACUUACACCACACGCAUCUGAACUUGCCUCACUAUGACUCUUCGGGGUGGGACUGGAUGAGGGGGUCGUUGACGACUGUGGAUAGGGACUAUGGGUUUUUGAACAAGGUGUUGCAUAACGUGACAGAUACUCACGUGGCGCACCAUCUGUUCACCCAUAUGCCUCAUUACCACCAAUCGGAAGCGACCAAGGCGUUCAUUCCGGUUUUGGGGGAAUACUACCAGGUUGAUCCGACUCCGUUCUACAAGGCGUUGUGGAGGGAGAUGAAGCACUGUGUUUAUAUCGAGCAAGAUGAGGAUGCGGAUUCUGAUAAUAACAAAAAAGGCGUGUACUGGUACAAAACCAAGCUCUAAUCGAUAACGUGGUUACGUUUGUACGAACUUGUGAUGUAUCGUGUUCUAGUCUCGAGAUGUGUUUUUCUUAUGUUUUAUUCUUAUUGUUUAUCACUCGUUACGCAAAUGUUGUGUUGAAUAGUUAUAAAUAACGGUAAUAAUAUAUGAGGAUAUAAGUUUGUGAAAUGAUAUAUAAAAGGUGUCUGGAAAAUGGAAAUAGAGCAUUAUGAAGAAAUUUAAAAAAUUAUACGAAUGGAAAUUUAUAUUAUAAAGUAUGUGAAAUAUAAUAUUCGAGCAUUCAUAAUUGUUCAAUUCGUAAUACAAUUUUGAAGCUUUUAAAUAGCCGAUUACACCCAAUCGGAAAUAUGUUUUAGAGAUUCUUUUUACAUAGUUCAAGGCCAAAUUUGAGGGUGAAAAUUUCUUGAGAUUUCAUACGUCCAAAAUUCAAAUUUCGUCCUUCAUUCAAUUAUUUUUAUACGAAUAAAACUUAAUAUAAUUAUUAAUUAAUUAAGGGUAAGAUAGUAUUGAACUUCCUCACAUCUUUUUGUUUUACAAAUUAAUGAUGAUUUUUUAAUCAAUGCUCAAGCGACUUGUUGAGCCAAUUUGAAAAUGCAGGCCCCUAUAGACAAGGUUAUAGGAAAGAUAGAUUGUCUCGCUAAAGUGUGAAUAACCAAAUCUCAUUUUCUCUUGAUAAUCUGAAAAGAAAACUCAUUUGCAAAUUGCAACAAACUACGACACAUAAACACAAUCCUUCCAAAUUCCGUAUCGUCCUCUGUCUCGUUGAGUAUGGCCAGUGAUACACUCUGCGAGUCUCCUUCAAAGAUUAUUUGCGUGUAUCCAAGAUGUAUCACCCAGCGAAUAGCUUCUAAGAUAGCAAUAGCUCGCCUACCUCCACGUUCGUGAUACAGUUAUUUGGCAGGUACACAUCAAGGGCAAUGUUGAGAUCGUUCUCUCCCGAUUCACUCAUUGAAGCAUGCGCUGUAGAGGUAACGAUGCAUCAUUCGGAGGUUCUGGCCUCCCUAACUACUUGUCUCCGGCUCCAUGUGCAAGUUGUUCAACAAUUUGCUAAAGAUAUAGCUCACAUGCAUAAGAUACCAAUUGAAUAUCAAACAAAAACAAAAUCUUUUCGAAACCAACCACUCCAAAUAGACAAAUUAUUUAGUCAAUUUUGUAGAAGAAAGAACAUGUGACUGGGUUUUCCAUUUUCGUUUACUGUUAUUGGUGGGUUGAUUCAGUCUUGUAAUUAUUUUUUAAAUCGUACUUGAAGAUCCUUUCUUCAACGCAAUCUCAAUGAUUUUAAGCUUUAAUUACGAAAGCGUGCCCUUUCGGUCACCACAUUUGAAAUAAUGAGAACACCCUUUCAGUCAUAAAUCCCGAAACUUCCGAAACUUAUUCGCCUGGAUUUUAAACCGAGCUGCUACAUUUUCUAAAUUAAUAUUUAUUCAGAAGCAUGAUAACCUCACCCAGGUUAGGUGUAGCAACUAACGAAGGAUUUUAGUAUUUCGAAAAAUUGCAAGUGGGUAUUUGAGAGACCGUGGAUCUGAUGUGACGGCGGCUCAAAAUGCCAAAUCCAACGAUCCUGGAUGGAUCCGAUGUGACGGCGGCUCGAAAUGUUAAAUCCAACGAUCCUGAAUGGAUCUGAUGCGGCGGCAGCUAGAAAUGCCAAAUCCAUGUGACGUGAUCUCACGCCAGUAACUUGUUAUUACGUCUUACUAGAAUGAAAAUUUGACUUAGCCGCCCUUAAUUACCCAUUUAUUAUUCUAAAUUGGGUCAUUAUAUAUAUAUUGAUAAUUGAGAGAGUACGACAACAAAGACCAUUUAACGAUGAAUUAACGCAUCCUUAGUGCAAUCCGAAACAGAGAAUUACUUGAAAUCCAUUGGCGGCAAAGAAUCAAACUUUUGUUCACUGCCGGAUCACAUAUAUAUAUAUAUAUAUAUUGACGGCGGCGAAAACAAAGGGUUCCGACGAUCAAAGCAAGAGCAAACCGCUUAAUAUUUCCAUCGAUCAGCUCAAGAAAUUGCAAGAAGACAAGGGCUACGAGUUACAGAGGACUGUAGGAACUUAGUUCAUGCUCGGCUCUAAAGCCAUGACUUGUUAGUAACUCAAUAAUGCGGUAUAUGUUUUAGGUUAUCUAUUUUUUUAGUUUUGACUCUAAUGGAAAUGCAAGUCACACAUUAUUUAGAUUUAACUAUUUUAAUUUGUAAAGUGGAAACUUGUUAUCUAUUUUCUUAGUUUUGACUCGUCGAUAUUUUGUAUAUAUAUAAACUUCAAAAUCAUUUUAAAAUAGACUCAUCGGGGAUGUUAAUGAAUGAAGUUUGAGUUGAACUCGAGUUUGGCUCGUCCGGGUGGUAAACGAGUCAGGCUUAAAUAGGCUCGAACUCGAGACGAGCUAAAAUUUUCUAGCUCGAAUUCGAGCUCGAGCUCGCCUAAAUAGUAACGAACCAACCUUGAACACUGUGAAGUUCGGUUCGACUCGAUUCGUGAACAGCUCUAGUUGUUUUACCUUUGUAAAAUUAAUUAAUUGGUUAUUUGUGAACAGAAUUAUAUACAAAUUGAUUACGAACCUUUGGAUAAAUCCGACUCAAUACAUGUCAUGAGCAUUGCAUCACUCAUCGCCGGUCGUUUGGAUGAGUUAUUUCACAAAUGAAGUAUUUUGAAGCAAAAUGAUGCAUUAUUUAGAAAUGUGGUAUUUUUUAGGCGUUGAGGGGUAAGAAUUACCUUGUUUGGCUAAUCCAAAAACAAUAAAUUACGGGCUUUGAAUUGAGUUAUUUAAAAAUACCACAUCCAUAAAAUAACUUGAUUUGAGGUAUUUCAAAUACCAUAAUUACAAAAUACCAAAGCUUUUAUUUUGAAUAAAACAAAAUAUUUUUGUCCAAAUAACUCAAUAGCAUACCUAAAGUUCUUGGAAGACGGUCUAUAAUUGGUUUUAUACUAUAUUAAAAUUUGGUACAUACAAGUUGUACUUUAUAUUUCCAUUGUCAAUCAAUUGUAAAUUUCGAGAGUUUGUACUUUUCUGAUCAUAGUACGAUUUCGUAUAGUUUAUUUACACAUUACACAAAAAAAAUCAAAAUAUUGUAAUAUCUAAAAUUAAAAAAAUGUAAUGUCCAUAAUGAACGAGGAGUUUUAUAAUAAUAUUGUCUUUGUGGGAGACCGAAACUUUCCAUUCAUGAUUAAGAAGCUUGAGAUCGCUCAUCAAAAAGUCAAAGACCACAAGUUGAAUCUAAUUGAAGAUGUACAUUUCGAUAACUAACCUUUAUUCGAUGGUAAAGACGGACCAUGAAUGGCACCACGAAGCUCCGCCCUAGUGAAUACACAUGGUUAGGAUUACACUACAAUUCAGUAACUAAAUGGGUCCAUAAUUUUAACCAAACUCAAACAAAAACAAUUCGUGCAAAAUAGAGCAUAAAAUGAGACAAUAUUAAACUAUAUAUGUUGGAGUGUCCGAUAUCAGCCUCGUUUGAUGCCUCGACGAAGUCCAGAAACAUGUAUAAAAAGCACUCGACCUAUUCAUAUUAGACAACAUCAAAAUCCGACCACUCAAUCGAAAACAAAGAGACACAUCUAAACACACACCCCCCCCCCCCCCCCCCCCCCUCACACCUUUGUGUGUGGAAUAUCUCAAACACAAAAACAACAUCCCAUACAAACACACAAACCCCGCCGCCUACAAGCGGUUCCCGUCCACAAAGCCGCCGUUCACACUCGCCGACCUCAAGAAGGCCAUUCCGCCGCACUGUUUCAAAAGAUCCAUCCCACGCUCCUUCUCCUACCUGGUCUUCGACCUCAUCGUCGCCGCCGUCUUCUACCACAUCGCUGCCACUUACUUCCCCCUCAUCCCCAAACCUCUCUCCUACGUGGCGUGGCCGGCCUACUGGUUCGUGCAGGGCAGCGUCCUGACCGGUGUGUGGGUCAUAGGCCACGAGUGCGGCCACCACGCAUUUAGCGAGCACCAGUGGCUCGACGACCUGGUCGGGGUUGUCCUCCACCCUGCUCUCCUCCCCCCUCACUAAAUAGGGAGAUGAAUAAUAUUUUAGAUACUUUAAACAAAUAAAUUAUUUUCAAAAUAAAUAAUAUUGAUUUUUAUUUAUAAAAGAGCACUCUUUUUAUAAAAUCUUUUAUUUUUCCGAUGUGAUAUUUGAGACCUCAUUAGGUUUUACAAACUAUUCACAUCUUUUCCAACAGGUCUACAUCCCGAGAAAAAAAUCUCAAUUACGGUGGUGGUAUUCGAGCUACCUGAACAACCCGCCCGGCCGGCUUCUGGCACUGGCUUACACCAUCCUCCUCGGCUGGCCUUCCUACUUGACUUUCAACCUAUCUGGAAGGGAAUACAACGGCUUCGCCUGCCAUUUCUACCCGAUGUCCCCUAUUUACAGCGACCGCGAGCGAGCCGAGGUAUUCGCCUCAGAUGUUGGCUUGCUCGCUGUCUGCUUCGCGUUGUACAAACUUAUUAUGGUCAAGGGAAUGGCGUGGGUUUUUUGCGUCUAUGGGGCUCCGGUCAUGGUGGUGAAUGGAUUCUUCAUUACCAUCACUUACUUGCAUCACACUCAUCUCGCGGUCCCGCGAUACGAUUCGUCUGAAUGGGAUUGGUUGAGGGGAGCCCUGGCAACCAUGGACAGGGACUUUGGCCUUUUGAACAAGGUGUUCCAUAAUGUUACAGAUACUCACGUGACGCACCAUCUGAUUUCGACGAUCCCUCAUUAUCAUGCCAUGGAAGCCAACAACGCAAUUAGGCCCGUGUUGGGGGACUACUACCAUAUCGACAGGACGCCGGUGGUUAAGGCGUUGUGGAGGGAGGCUAAGGAGUGUGUUUACAUCGAGGCCGAUGAUGGUGAAAAGAACAAAGGCGUGUUCUGGUUCAAUACCAAGCUCUAAAUUAAACGAUCUUGUGAUCGAUCGUCUCUGCUUCUUUUCCUUCUUCGAUUGUCGUCGUGGUUAUGUUUGUAACGUUUUUGUGAUGUGUCGUUUCCGUCUCGAGUCUUAUUGUUUCUUAGUCGUUACAUAACCGCGAAGGGAUGUAUGUUCUGUUAUGUCGUUCAAUAGUUGAUCUAAUGUACCGCAACCCAGAUUUGUGAAACGGUAAUAAUGUGGUCAAGCAUGCUCAAUGGUUAUUUCCACAACCUUUUCAUUAUAUACUUAAAUUCCAUGUGUAUAUACACUAACGGUCUAAAUAUGUUAUUUUCCCGCAGAUUAUACUUAUUUUUGUGUGUCGAAAUGUAUUCAAAUUUAGAGUUUUAAGUACAUGUUUGGUUCUUUUGCCCACGGGGCUGUGUUAUGGUGUUUGGUAUAUUUUUGGUACAUUUCAGGUGUCAUAUGACGUUUAGAGAUGAAUCAAAACAUGACGGGGAGGCCGGAACAACUCAAAAUGUUCGAUUUCAGAAGAAAACGUCACUAUUUAGUAUUUUGAGCAUAACUCAUCGCUCGGAAGUCCAAUUGAUAUAAGGUCGGCGGCGUUGGAAAGAUAAUUCAAUUGUCUACAACUUUUAUGUUGACGCUAUGGCAAAAUUCCGUAUAAUGAAAGGAUACGGCAUGUUCCUCCUCUGGAAUUGCCCAAGAAAGUUACAGGGGCGGAACACGGGCGGGAACACGGCGUGUUCCACCCCAUAUGGGUUUUCAAACCCUUUUACUUCUCCAACUUGGCCCAGAAGUUUAUAAGUACUCCCCGAGAUCCCUUCUGGAUGAGAGAUACUUCAUUAUACGCAUAUUUUCGAGUUCUUAGAGAGAGUUAGGGUUUCAGAGAAACGAUUGAAGCGAGAGGAUCAACCACAAUUGGCGAAUGGCGAAUUAUCAAGUUGAAGAUUGGGAUUUACACGAAGAACAUGUCGUUUUCUCCGGUUUUUCUUCUUUUCUCUUGUGAUUAUUUUCCCGAAUCAUGAGUAGCUAAACCUUUCGUGUUGUUCAGAUGAGAUAAAGCUUUAGUCAAGCUUUUGUAUGGAUGAUGGGGUUUUAACCCCUUGAUUUGUUAUCGAGGUUAUUCAGACUUAUGAUGCGUUCUUCCUAAAACCUAAAUUCUGAUUCAAUUUUGUCUGGUCAUCUUGAUUGAAUCAUCGACAUUGAUUUGUGGGUCCGAGAGGAACAUAGAUUGAUAGGUCACUUAGGAAGAACCCUAGAUUUUUAAUGCGUUUUGUUUAGGUGUAGAUUAGCUCGAGAGAUGAGUCUACAGUUAAGCGAAAUAGAUCCUUAGAGGCGCGAGAGUGAUCUAAGACUACCAUAGGAAAUUGCCAAGUCAUUAUAACAUGAAUAAUCGAGUUAACUUGUCGUUCAUCCAUGCAUUUCUAGCUUUAGUGGAUUCGAAUCCGAACAACCUUCAUUCCAUACUUGAAACUCAAUCUCUUGAAUUUGUUUUCCUUUUAUUUGCCUUCCUAGAUAUUAAUUGGUUACUUAAAACAUCCUCCAAAACAAUCUUAGACUGUUGCUAGUUGGUAAUUCAAUUUGAGUAAUAAAAGUAGAAAGACCUUAGAAAAAUUAACGAUCCCAUUAGAACAAUCUACUGAGUAUUUGAUAGCCACGCAUCACUUAGACUAUAUGGGUUUGAUUUCCUAAAUUAAGUUUUUGAAUCAAAGUCAUAUAAUUUCUUCAGUCUCUACAAACCAAUAGUCGUAGGUUCACAUGACACAACAUGUGACAUGUCCAGUUGCCCUAACGUACAAAUAAUUUAUGUUUGCAUCAUCAAGUUGAAUCGUUCAUAUUGAAAAAUAAAUAAAUAAAUACUACUUAAUUUAUGAUUUAUAUAUCGUCAACUGAACCUGAUGUUCAUAAACCAAUAUUUAUAAGUUCACAUGAGUGAUGAUCACCUAACAUGUUUACCCACGUACACAUAUAGUUUGAAAGAUAUUUUUAAUUCGUGACGCGAAAAUAAUUACCUACGAAUACAAGCCAUUAAUGCUGAUCGAGCAACUUGUAAAAUUUAUUCCAAACAAGAGGGUCCAAUGCUUAAGUUGCUACAACUACAAGCCAUCAAUGCCGAUCGAGCAACUUGUAAAAUUUAUUCCAAACAAGAGGUUCCAAUGCUUACGUUGCUAGCUGAUUCAGCAGUGUUGAAGGAUUCAAAUGUGCUGAUUCGGAAAGAAUCAAACUUAGUUGUGAACACCAUAAUUAUACGGGACUGAAACGAAACGUUUUGCUUACUUAUUCAAAGUCUUACCGGUCCAUUCUUACCGAUACAAACAUGAGAGCACCUCCUGAUCAAGUCAGGCAGAUGAUAAGAGAAUGGUAUAAAAUCAAUAAUUAACUCUUCAUCCAACAACUAAAGCUAUUUGGAUGCAACGGUUUUUGACAUGAUAUCAUACCCUGGUUUGACCAAAUAGUCGUAAGUUAGAAUCUCCAUGGGGCCAUGACCCGCAAUAUUAAUAGUUGAUUUAAGCACGAGGUAUGGCGGACCUAUACAAAUUUCAAGCCCGUGAGUUGACUUUGGUUUGAAGAAGUUUAUAAGAUCCAUAAUCAACCCCAAUAUUGUCCCGGCCACCUGAAGAAACACCUCCAUCUUUCCGGGAUCUUACCUAAACCAUCAAUGCUACGAAUGCAGCGAUUUUCGCUGGAUUUAUUUGCGAAAAAACGAGAGAAGAUAUACAUUCCAAUUAAUGCUAUGGCGAACAGUACUGACGUCGAUCCAGCUAUAUCAACGUUGAAGGAUUCAGAAAGCAGCCUCCAUGUUUGAAUCUGAGAUCCAGACUAGUUCUGCAAUUAAACUAAUUAAUAAUCCUUCCAGAUUAAUAAUAACGUUGUCUGCCGACUCAUUAAAAAAAUAGAUUAUCUAACCAAUCAUAUUGUACGGAUGGAUCUGGUUGGCGGCUCAAAUGUCGAAUCUAUUCUCGUCUCAUGUGGGUCUCUUGGGAUCUCUGCACGUCCAUCUCAUGAUUAACUAAGGUUAAUUAGGUUCCGUUUGGUUUGAGUGGUGGUUAUUUUAUUUUUAUUUAUUUUUGUCUUGUUUUGCCGACAAAAUGAUUCAGAGACAAAGCAAGAUCAGAGAACGUGGUCUAUUACUACUUGUAGUAAGCAUUUUGUAUGGAUAGAGUAUAAAUAUUUUUAUAUUAAAGUAUCGAAAUUUGAAUUGGAUUUUUAAGUUUUUAAUAAAUUAUAUUUUUAGUAAGAUGAGUAUGAGAUAAUCAAAUGUCUUAGCUAUUUAAUUUUAUUUUAGCCUAUUAUUCGAUUUACAAAGUCUUAAGUGUUUGAAAAUUUAUGUAGUUUGUUAAUUUUUUUUAUUAUAAUUAUAGCCAAAAUCAUCUGAAAUCUGACGAGUGUGGAUACGAUAUGAUAUAUACCGCCAAACGAAUUAUUUAGGAUGUGUAUUAUGUAAACCUGAAAUUAUAAUAAAAAGGAAACGAAUAUCAACUAUUUAAACCCGAACUGAACCGUUGCCAAACCAAUACUUAUUGGUGGUUGGGAAUAAAACAUCGUUUUUUGUUGCUUAUACUUGGGAAGCAUCAAAUAUGUAGAUUUCCUCGCAAUCAGAUUUAAUUGUUUUUUCUUUCAUUUCCCGUAAGCUAAAUGACCUGGCGGACUGGAUAGCUAAAUCCAACCGUUUAGGCACGUUAGCAAACAAGUGGAUCCAAACUCUAUUGUAACCCUCAUUUUGUAUGGCUUUGCCAAUUUUCAUGAUGAAUAUAAUACCAAAUUCGUUUUAAAAGAAUUAGUAGGAAAAUGAAUCUAUAGCAUAUGAUCAGUUUUUUAUAUAUAUAUAUAUAUAUCAAUCUCUUCGACCAUGAUUGACUCUAGACACGACAAAUAGAAAACUCUACAUAUAUACCCUACUAAUUCUACCCGACUUUAGAAAAUUAAAGCAAAAUUCAAUGCAACCCACAAUACUAAAAAUCGAGUUCAAAAUAAGGAAAAAACAAACAGGAGGUAGCUAAUCCUUCGAAUGGGACAAAACAUUGAUAAAUUCGCCACAAGCUUAUUCAUUAUUAGUGUUUAUAAUUUCAUUUAAUUUUAAUUGGAGACUUUUGGUGGUUGUAAACAUGACUUAUUGGUUGCUUCGUAUAGAUUCCAAGUAGAUGGGUGAAUAAUUAAUUAAUUAUUAUUUCACAUCUCAACAAACACAAAUACAGCGAUGUCAUAACUGCAGUACACUCGAUUAGUGCACAAAAUGGACUUAUAUAUCCGACGACAUAAUCAGGAUAAAAUUUUGCCAAUAUUACGUCACCCGAACCGAAACUUUUGAUAUGAGGACAUCCAAAAAUAAAAAGUAGUAAAAUAUAAAUAUCUAUUCAAAAAAUGAAGAAUAUCGACAAUACCCCGUAAAAAUUGGGAGUGUUACAAAAUGUGCGGCUACAAUAACAAAAAUGCAUAGUGCACUAUUUCUGAAGACGAAUCAUAGGUAGGAGUUGUACAUGUCCAUAACGAAGACUUCUUACAGGCAAGAUGUAAUGCCCUCGAGCACGGCUGCAGAAAUUUUUUGGCUUAAUAAUUCCUGUUUUCAGGCCAUAUGUUUCCUGUUAUCAUAUCGUCCAUGAAGCAACUGAUCCAGAAUGUUUUAAUGUAUUAUACCAAAUCGUAUAAAAAUUAAAAUAUACUAGAUCAUAAAAAAAUUACUAAUUAAUUUAUAAAUAUAAUGAAAAUUAUAUAAUAUCAAAGUUCAAAAUUCUAAAAUAUAUUGGGCCGAAACUAAAAGGCUCAUCUGUAUCCGUCACUAUCAUGGCCUUGGAAUGGUGUGACUUCACUUGAAUGCCUCCUUGAAAAGUACCGCAUUAGAAAAACCAGUAUGUUUUUUUUUUUUACUUUUUUACCUUUCGUAAAAACAAAGUGAUAAUCAUCUAAUGAUUAAACCUGUUAGGGUAGUUUAAAACAUUUUAACCUAUGCUAUGUAUUUUGUACUUUGGAUUUAAUUCUUGGGUAUGCAUAUAUGUUGUUUAGAAGCUUGAUGAUUAUCGUAUUCACUUGACUCGCAAUAAAUAAAUUUGUUUUCCUACGCAGCAUCUCGCGGGAUAAUUUCUAAUAUUUAUUAAAGAUCAAACACGGGGCGAGGGAUAUUUUUUUUCAUAUUCAAAGACAUAACAGAACAUACAUCGAAACACAAAAAGCAUGUAACAACUUCGCGCACCAUUGUUACAACGUCACAAAUUACAGCUUGGUUUUGAACCAAAACACCCCUCCUUUCUUCUCCCGAUCAGAUCCCUCAUCAUCCGCCUCAACAUAAACACAAUCCUUAGUCUCUCUCCACAACGCCUUCAAAAACGGCGUAGUAUCAACUUGGUAGUACUCCCCAAGAACCGGCUUUAUCGCAUUUGUAGCCUCCAUCGCAUGAUAAUGAGGAAUCAUCGAGAACAGAUGGUGCGCCACGUGGGUAUCCGUAAUAUUAUGCAUCACCUUAUUCAAAAUUCCGUAAUCCCUAUCCACAGUCGCGAGUGCACCCCUCAUCCAGUCCCACUCCGACGAGUCGUAGUGGGGCAAGUUGAGAUGCGUGUGGUGCAAGUAAGUGAUGGUAAUCAACAUCGCAUUCUGGAGAAUGAGAGGCACCCCGUACACGCAAACAACCCAACCGAACCCGUUGACCAUCGCGAGUUUAUAAAGACCGAACCACGUGGCGAGCAUCCCGGCGACGGAGAGGACUAUCCCGAAUCUCUCGCGGUCGUUGUAGAUAGGGGAGAAAGGAUACAAAUGGCUGGCGAAUCCGUCGUCGUAUUUCCUGCCGGAGAUGUUGACCAGCAAGUAGAGCGGCCAUCCGAGGGUGAGAGUGAAGAAUAUAUAGAACACGUGUCCGGGAGGGUUGUCGAGGUAUUUAAAAUGCCAGUUGACUUCGUCCUUCUUUUUCGGGAUGUAAUUCUCGUCGCGCUCGAUGGAGGCGGCGUUGGCGUGGUGACGGCGGUGGCUGUGCUUCCAGGAGAAGUAAGGAGCUAAGAGGAGGGAGUGGAGGACGAACCCAACGGCGUCGUCUAGCCACUGGUAGUCGCUGAAGGCGUGUUGGCCGCACUCGUGGGCGAUGACCCACACGGCGAUGAAGUGGGACCCCUGAGCGGCCCAAGCGAUGAAGUGUGACCCCUGGGCGGCCCAGUAGAGCGGCCACGCCACGUAGGAGAGAGGGUUGGGGAGGAGGUGGAAGUAUGACGUGGCGAUGUGGUAGAGGAUUGUGAUGACGGUGAGAUCGUAGGCUAGGUAGGUGAAGGAUUUGAGGAGGGAUCUUUGGAAGCAGUGCGGUGGUAUUGCUUUCUUGACGUCGGAGAGGGUGAACGGCGGUUUUGAGGUCGGUGUUCGCUUUAUGGUGGUAUUGGAUACCAUUUUUGGUUUUGGGUUUGUCGGUGGAGAGGAGAGGAAAGUGGUUUGUUACAGUGGGGGAAGGGAGGUGGGGGGUGUGUAUUUAAGAUGGUAAAAGUGUUGCACACAAAAUCUAAAAAUGAAAAUAAACAAGAUGCAUGAGCUCAAUAUAAACAAAGUCAAUCAUGGACAAAAUCUCCAAAACAUAGCUGUAUUUCAAUAAUUUGAGUUAUUUUUUAGAAGUCAUAUUUAGAUAUCGAGUUAUAUCCGAACAUAGAAACUGUUAAAAAAUAUGGGAUUUAAUCGUAAUUAUAUCAUAAUUUUAUUAGUGGUUCACGGUCCAAUUCGGUUGGCUCGUCCAUAUAUACCAGUGCGGUUUUGAAACAUUGCGAGCUCAAAGGUGACUUGAAACGUUGAACUUUUAUUAGUAAAAAACUCUUGUACAUGUUACGAAUUAUUGCGUCAUUUUUUCGUCGAAAAUAGACCAGGUGAAGAUGACAUUAGAAAAUAAAAAGGAAAUAAAUAUAACAUAGAAGUGUAUAUAUAAAGUGUGGCUAGAUUCGAACCCAGUAUAUACAGUUCUCAGUAUAUCCUAACCAAUAUAUGGAGUUUUAAAUAAAAAGGUCAUAAUUAAUCACAUUAUUCAUUAAAGAUUAAGAUACUGAAAUAUACAAACAUAUAGCUAAUUUUAGACGUAUGUCACUAAUGAACGACAGGGAAGCGGCUCCGUAUCAAAUGCCAAGUAUCAACCAACCACAAUAAGGUGGUCAAGACUGAAUCUGGGCCGUUUAUAUUUUCUUCAACGGUCAAAAGUUGCUCCUUUCCGAUCAGACAAUGACUCUUGUGGAAAAAAUAUUGAUACUAGGAGAAAAUUGGGGAACGUUAUAGAAUGGCAAUUGGCAACCGUGGAUCUGUCCUGGGGGGGCGGCUCACAAUUUGCUCUCAUGUGAUUUCACGUUCUUCAAGUUUAGUUUUUGUUUAUCGAAGAUAGACCGAACGGACUUAUCAAUACAAAAAAACGAAAGGAAUUAUAUAUUAUAAGUGCUUUAUAUGUGGUGGACGUCCUUUUAAGUCUUCGAAUAUGAAAGAUUGCAGCACCCGACUGAUAAAUUAUAACAAAUUGUAAAAACUCUCAAUCCCGACUUCAUAAUUAAAAGACAAGGUGAGCAAUUAACGAUAUCUUAUAUCGUAAUUAGUUAUGACCUACCUAUUCUAAGUUGUCUCAUAUUCAUCUCAUUCAAAGUAUAGACCAGUUCGUAAUACUUCUAAAUCCAGACGGCCCCGUAUGCAGAAAAAGCCGAAGAAGGCCGACGAAGUGAAAUGAAGGCCCGUUUCUGGCCCAACGAAUACGGACCGAGCCGGCCGUUUAGAUUGGGCCUGAACUAGUUUAUAUUUCCCGUCUGCCAUUUGCCAUGCCAUGUGAGUUUCUCCAUUAUUUUUAACAUUAUUAUUCCCCUCGUGUUCAACAAUUCCAAUUAUAUAAUGAAAUUUUAAUAGACAAGUUUUAAAAUGAAAUAGUUUUGAAAAAAAAUCGAAACUAAAAUAAUAUAAAACGGUCAUUAUCCGACUUUGUACACUAUCAUGCUGGCUAGAUAGUGCGGCGCUAUGCGACUUUGUUAAUUUCCAUUUCAUUUGGAAAUUAGUUGUUAAUUACGUAUAAUUUUUUUUCAUUUGGCCAACAAUCGAUAAACAAUAUACAUGCGUGAAACUCUUAGCUUCUUAAUCUUCUAUGUGACUUUCAUAAAUAUAUAUUAAUCAUAAAUUGUUGGUAAAAAAAAAGGAAACUGUGCACCGGUUAAUAUUGCUAAAAAUUGGCCACUUGCAAAAAAAGAAAGAAAAAACACAAUUUAUUUGCUGACUUUGGCUUUCUGUUUCUGGUCAAAUAAAUACAGUCCUUUCCUUCUCCUCCCCUGUUUCUCCUAUGUUCUCAUCCUCUGCAACUAAAAUGCCGGCGCCGCCUUCAUCAUCCAACACGACCAUGAAGCGAUCGCCUCACUCAAAGCCGCCGUUCACCGUCUCCGACGUCAAGAAAGCCAUUCCACCACACUGCUUCCAAAGGUCCCUCCUCCGAUCAUUCUCCUACCUAACCUACGACCUCACCAUCAUCACAAUCCUCUACCAAGUCGCCACCACUUACUUCCACCUCCUCCCGACACCUCUCUCAUCCUACGUGGCAUGGCCGGCCUACUGGGCCGGCCAAGGCUGCUUCUUCGUCGCUGUAUGGAUGGUGGCCCACGAGUGUGGCCAUCACGCCUUCAGCGACCAGCACUGGCUGGAAGACUCGGUCGGAUUCAUCCUCCACUCAGCCCUCCUUUCACCUUACUUCUCAUGGAAGCACAGCCACCGUCGCCACCAUGCCAACACGAGCUCCCUCGAACGUGACGAGGUGUUCGUCCCUAAACCCAAGUCCAAGCUGAGCUGGCACUUCAAGUUCUUCAACAACCCGCCUGGCCGCGUCCUGCAGUUGGCAUUUGCUCUGCUUCUUGGAUGGCCUCUCUAUUUGGCGAUCAACAUCGCCGGAAGGCCGUACGAGAAAUUCGCUAGCCACUUCGAUCCGAGAAGCCCUAUCUACAACGAUCGAGAGCGGAUCGAGAUAUUCGCAUCCGAUGUUGGCGUGCUCUGCAUGUGGUUCGCGCUGUAUAAACUUGCUCUAGUGAACGGAGUUGGUUGGGUUGUUUGUGUGUACGGGAUCCCGCUGUUGGUGAUGAAUGGAUGGGUCGUUACGAUCACUUACUUGCAUCACACGCAUAUAGCGUUGCCGCGGUAUGAUUCGUCCGAAUGGGAUUGGUUGAGGGGUGCAUUGGCGACUGUGGAUAGGGACUAUGGUGUUUUGAACAAGGUGUUUCAUAACAUCACGGAUACUCAUGUGGCGCACCAUCUGUUUUCGGCGAUGCCUCAUUACCAUGCGGCGGAAGCGACCGAGGCGAUCAAGCCCGUUUUGGGCGAGUAUUAUCGGUGUGACCGGACUCCUAUUAUCAAGGCGUUAUGGAGGGAGUUUAAGCACUGUAUUUAUGUCGAGUCAGAUGAGGAUAAAGGCGUGUUUUGGUUCAAUGACAAGUUGUAAUUUGUCGAGAAUUGUUUGUAUCGAAAUAAUUAAUUGUUUAUGGUACUAAUAUUUCGUUGUUUUUAUUACAAAUCAAUCGAUAAUAAUUUCAUAAAUAUAGCAAAAUUUGAGAUAUGAUUACAAUAAUUUUGCUGGGAGGUGCUUCAUACUAAUAGGUCAUAAGGGAAAAGCAGAUAUCUAACUAGUGCAGAUAUACUUUAUUUCGCAUUCUCAAUCUUCACGACCAUGAUCGACUCUAGAUACGACAAAUAGAAAACUCUACAUAUAUACCCUACUAAUUCUACCCCGACUUUAAAAAAUUAAAGCGAAAUUCAAUGCAACCCACAAUAUUAAAAAUCGAGUUCAAAAUAAGGAAAAAACAAACAAGAGGUAGCUAAUCCUUCGAAUGGGACAAAACAUUGAUAAAUUCGCCACAAGCUUAUUCAUUAUUAGUGUUUAUAAUUUCAUUUAAUUUUAAUUGGAGACUUUUGGUGGUUGUAAACAUGACUUAUUGGUUGCUUCGUAUAGAUUCCAAGUAGAUGGGUGAAUAAUUAAUUAAUUAUUAUUUCACAUCUCAACAAACACAAAUACAGCGAUGUCAUAACUGCAGUACACGCGAUUAGUGCACAAAAUGGACUUGGAAAAAUAAUCAGCAUAAAUUUUCGCCACUAUUACGUCACGCAAACUAAAACGAUGGAGAUUCCGAAAUAGAAAGCAGUAGAACUUAAAUAUUUAUUCAAAUAGUAAAAAAUACCGACAACACCCCAGUAAGAGUUGGGAGUGCUACAAAAUGUACGGCUACAAGUCCAUAACAAAGACUUCUUACAGGCAAAGAUGUAAAGCCCUCAAGCACGGCUGCAGAAAUUUGUUGGCUGAAUGAUUCCUGUUUUCAGGCCAUAUGUUUCCUGUUAUCAUCCGGUCCAUGAAGCGGCGGAUCCAGAAUGUGUAUGCAUGUAAUUCGCUAGCCUGCCAUUCUGCAGAAAUUAAUCAGACAAGGCUAAAAUCCUCAAGAAAUCAUCUUCAUCAAGCCUGCCAUUUCCAUAAUCAUGCACUUCUGCUCUAAUCUUCGUAACGACAUCUCUUGCACUCCUCGGCGCCUUAUUAAACCGCCGACAACACCAUUCCCGCCACACUUCACUAACCUCAGUACACCACCAGAGACGGUGAAUCCAUCGACUACGAUCCCACAAGCUAACAAUCUGGAGCAUUCCCUCCCAGAUUCCCGAAUCAAGUAAACUAGGGUCAAAAUCAGAGAUAAUAACUUUCGCAUAUAGUAACCAUCCCACUGAACAUCUCCAUCGCUGUCGUAGGUAAUAAACUGCUGGGCAAGACUGCGCAACUUCAUAAUCCUUCUCAGAUGCCACGACCUUGCUUUCUGAUCAUAAGUCCAAAUGUCACCACCCUAUAUAAUCUUAUAAGCAUAGACCCAAGCCACCCAAAGGGAGCCUACAUACGUAAGAAGCUUAGCUUUUCAAUCCAACAGAGUCUUGCAGUCAUCUUUAGACAACUUCCCAGUGGAGAUGGUAAUGCCCAAAUAUCUUUUUUGUGUUAAUUUUGAUUUCACAACGCGAAAAAAUCCACAAAAAUCACAUUUCAUUAUAUAAUUAAUUUGUUCUGGUGCUAAUUAUUUGUUCUUAAUGUUUAUAUUUAAUUUUUAUAGGAGGUGUUUUGGUGGUUGGGGCAGAUGGAAUCCUUUAGCAUAUGCUCCAUUUCCUCCAUUUUUUUAUUUUUUCUUGCGUUGCAUACGCAUUUUAAAAUAUUCAUUUAAUAUAUAAUACACGUAUGUGUUUACAAUUUUUGUUUUCCUAUUAUUAUGAGCUAUUUAAUUUUUGUUUAUAUUUGUUUGAUGCUUCACAUAUUAAAGAUGUAUAAAAUACGUAUUACAUGUUUAAUAUAUGUAUUUUUAGGAAUCGAAUAAAUAUUAUAAUAAUUUAAUAGUUUAUAUUCACUUUUAAAAUUAUAAUUUUGGCCGAACUUUUAAACAUACAGCUUUAUUAAAAUAACAUAUGAUACUUUGAGCAUAAUAAUACCAUACUAUACUCGUGUUAUAUUUUAAACAUACAGCUAAUCAAGUAAUCAUGUUCCAUUAUGUAUAGAAAAAUGGCAAGCAUUUGGUUUCCAUCGCGGCCUUUGGGCUUCACUCGCAAAUCUCCCAUCUCCGUCAGUUAGGCCCAAUCGUGUUGGCGAGCUGGACCAAUAUUUCCUUGGGACACAACUACCGUCUCUUAGACCAAACAAAACCGACAGACCCGAUUUAGACAGAACUCGUAAUCUACACUAAAAAGUAAUACUGUCGAAUUCAGUAACGUCAUCGCCAUCUCCUGUUGGACCGUUUGACAAUCUAUUUCUACAAUCACCUGUUCACCGAACUAGCUAUGAGUACCGCGUAGCCUUGUGGUAACCCUGUCGUCGAAGCGCCUUUAAUUAUUAUUGUUUAAAAUUGAUAUAGUUGGGGGAGAGAAACAUGAUCAAUAUAGUUAUAAUUCAGCCAAUAGGAUAAACUUCAAUCAAGUAUAUCGAAAAUAUGUAGAUCAUAAAGAAAAGAGUGGUCGAAGUUGGCCAAAUAAUCAGUUGCCAUACUUCAACAUUUGUAUGGACCUUUCGUUUGAAAUAAUCUAUUCAAGAAUGAAUGUAUUCAUAGAGGGUUAGGGAAUGCGGCAGAUGGAGGGGUGUUGCGUAAUGCUCCGGGGAAUACGAUUAUGACUUAUUAUGUGAAUUUGGGAAGAUGCUCGAUUACGAGAGUUGAAAUUCGUGCUGUGAUCUUUCUUCCAUUAGAUUACAAAAUUAGUCUUUAUCUUUCUUCCAUUAGAUUACAAGAUUCGUCUUUAAAUUUAUGGUACAACCCCACUAACCACAUAGUGGGGUUGUAUCUCGAAAAAAGCCCACAACACACAGCUGUGGAUUAGACUGGGCCUGCCAUUGGAACUUGGAAGUGUCAAGUGCUUAGGCCCAACGAUUGUACAAGAGCGGAUUCCCUGUUUUCCCACAUUAGGAGGAAGGUAGAAACCUGGGGGCGGGCCUCCAGGUGUUACAGACUAUCUGCCUCAAAACCAAGCUCAUGCAGAGCUUCACAUUUUUUUUGCUCCGUGCUCAGCCUUUCUGUUCACUGUUGAUUUGUCUGUAUCUCCGGCGCCAGAGACUGUUUCCCUAUUAAUUAAUUCUGGAUACUUUUUCUCUUUUUACUAAUUAAUGCAUCGUGGGACGUGGAUCUUUCUCAGACGACACCACCACCGACCGUCGGCCGUCGAUCCGGUUGGGUGCUGUGGGGCCCCUACGUCGAAUCUCUUUGCCAACCGGGCCACCCCUCACGCGAACUCACUAUCCUUCACUUGUUCUGAUAUUUUCCAAUUUCCAUGUUUCAACCCCAACAGAUAUCUCAACCGUCCAUUGUGGGAAGCCCACUGUAAUAGAUGGACGGAUUGGAUUGUCCUUUAAAGUAAAUUUGGGAUGUCCGCGAAGCGCUCUAAGCCUAAGUUUAACAUAAAAUCGGGCUCAAGUUAGAAAAUUUUAGUAUGUGUCGAACUCGAGCCUAUUCGAGUCUGACUUAUUAAUUAUUAUUGUAGAGUCAAAUUCAAGUUCAACUCGAAUUUCGCUAAUUAAAAAACUCAGUAUAAGAGUCCAAUUUGAGUUGAAUUUGAAGUUUGUACUUUAAAAAUUAUCGACAAAUCACGCUAAAAAACAAGAUAUCAUAAAAUUAAAUUUCUACAUAUAUUUUAUUAUAUAUAUUCUUUGCGAUAAGACACAUAAUGCGCUAUUGAAUCUACUAACGAGCCAAAUUAUCUAGUUAGUAUUUCAUGCUCGAGUUCGAGUUAGCACGUGACCUUAUCGAGACGAAUAUACUAUGCCUCAAACUUGACUCGUUUUAAAAUCGAGUCUAUUGAACUGCUCGCAAACGGCUUGGUUUGUCAACCGCCCCUAUUGAUGGUGGGUUGGUGGAUUAUAAAUGUGACACCGAAAAUUAAAAAAUAAUGUUGAGUUUGGGUGAUGAGUCAGGAGGCAUGGUGUUGUAUAGGUGAUUAUAACGACCUUUUGAACAAAUCGAAGAAACGGGGUUGCGUGAGCAUCUACGAGAGCUAACGGAUGGUUUUCGUCAAGCUGUUAUUGAUUGUGGGUUGGUGGAUCUUCAGUUAGAAGGUUAUCCGUUUACUUUGGUGAGGUCGAAAGGAAGACCAAAUUGCAUUGAAGAACGUCUUGAUCGGGGAAUGGUGAAUGAAGCUUGGGCGCAGGUUUUCCCAGCGGCGGUUUUACGGAAUCUAAUAGCACCAACUUCGGAUCAUUCUCCGAUUUUGAUGGAUACUAGGCCGCAAGUUCAGAGGAGGGAGGAGAUUCAGGUUUGAGAAUAAGUGGUUUGAGGAGCAAUCAUUGAAACCGUUGGUGGCAGGAGUAUGGAGUAGCUGCGGGGGAUGAGAGCUGAGAAAUAGACUAGAAGUUUGGGGGAAGGAACUAGAUCGGAAGAUGUUGGAGUUGAGGGAACGGGAAGAUGAGGAGGCUGGCGAAGAAACGAAGCAGUGUAGAGAGAUGAAGCUGAUCCUUCUACAGCUGGAAGACACGUACCGGAAACAAAGAGCGAAACAGUAUUGGUUGCUGUUUGGGGAUCUUAACACGAAACUUUACCAUGUUGUUGCCAAUGGUACAAGGAAGAGGAAUGUGAUGACGGGGUUGAGAGCGACAGAUGGAACUUGGAAGAAUAACGUGCAAGAGAUGGCGACUAUAGCGAUAUAGUACUUUGAGAAUUUAUUCAGAGGUGAGGCGGGUGAAUGACAAGAAGUUAUAGAAUGUGUUCCGCAGAGAUUAUCAGAGGAGGAUAAUCAACAGAUGAGGAAAAUUAGGAUUGCUAUGUUCUUGAUGAAUCCAGAUAAGGCGUCUGUACCUGAUGAUUUUAAUCCGGAAUUUCACCAAAAACUUUGGCAUAUUGUUGGAGGUGUGAUAUUGGAGAACUGUAGAGCAUGGUUGGAGUGUGGAGCUUUGCCGCAAGUUGGCAGCUGUUUAUAAAUCCUACGAUUUUGGUGGGACGAAUUCUGAAAGAUAAAUAUUUUUCAAAUGAGGAUUUUUUACUAGUCAAUAUUGGCUCAAACCUGAGUAUUACAUGACGUAGUAUUGUGGAAGCUAAGGUGGCUAUUUUCCAAGGUUAUCAAUGGAAGAUUGGGGAUGGCGCAAAGAUCCUGGUGUGGGAAGAUCCUUGGAUUCGGCGAAAUAAUGAUAUGGUGGAGUCGGUGUCACCUCUAAGUGACUGGGAUCUACGUGUUAAUGCAUUACUAUCAGCAGAGGGAGAUGAGUGGGAUGAGGAACGGGUGCGGAGUUUGUUUCAUCAAAGAGGCGCCGAGGAAAUAUUAUCGAUACCGUUGCAAGGAGGUGGGGAGGAUACGGCCUUUUGGAGUUAUAGCAAUAAUGGUAUAGCAAUGGAGGUGGUGCAUGCGUGGGAGAUGGCGUAGCAACGGUGUAGAAGGGGAGUUCAGGUGGAGCCGAGAAUUGAUUGUCGGCGAUGGCAUCCACCCUCUAACCAUGAUGUAAAAUGCAAUGUUGAUGCAGCUAUGUUUUCAGAGCUGGGGGAAACGGGUGUUGGUGUGUGUGUGCGAGAUGCGAUGGCGAUGGUGAUAAUUUAUUAGAUGACACAACGCGCGGGGGGAUGUUGAUGCAGCUAUGUUUUCAGAGCUGGGGGAAACGGGUGUUGGUGUGUGUGUGCGAGAUGCGAUGGCGAUGGUGAUAAUUUAUUAGAUGACACAACGCGCGGGGGGAUGUUGAUGCAGCUAUGUUUUCAGAGCUGGGGGAAACGGGUGUUGGUGUGUGUGUGCGAGAUGCGAUGGCGAUGGUGAUAAUUUAUUAGAUGACACAACGCGCGGGGGGAUGUUGAUGCAGCUAUGUUUUCAGAGCUGGGGGAAACGGGUGUUGGUGUGUGUGUGCGAGAUGCGAUGACGAUGGUGAUAAUUUAUUAGAUGACACAACGCGGGGGGUGGUCAGUAGUAGCAAGGAAUGAAAGGCUUUAGCAUUGAUGAAAGGGCUUGCGAUGGUGUGUUGAUCUUAACUUUCAUAGAGUUAUUUUGGAGUCGGUUGCGUAUGUGGUUGUCCAAGCGAUCAAUGCAAGUAUGAUACAGGACAGGUUAGAGUUUGGUGAUAUAAUAAGGCGAUGUCGGGAUAUUUUUAUUUCGAAACCAAAUUAUAUGAUUAGGUUUGUGCGGAGGAAUUGUAACAAAAUUUCUCAUAUUUUGACUAGACAAUCUAUGUUAUUUCAGUCACCAUCAUACUUACGAAAUUUCUUUUAAAUUCUUUGAACGAUAAGUGUUUGGAUAUCAUAAUUAAUAUAUGAGUAGAAUUUUAUUUAAAAAAAUGGCGAGUUGGGUGAUUAAACUGGGCCCAUGCCGAUGUUGGCCCACAGACUUUUAUCACAAAGCGGCCUAACACUCCACGACAGCUGAGCUUAAAUACGGUUCCCCACUCCUCCCCUUCCGUUCACAGUCGGGCCGGCGUUUCCUGACUCCAUUUCUAUCUCCACCACUCUCAAAAUCUAGAGAUAGAGAGAGAUCCUCGUCAUCAAACGGAGUCAGAGAUUCUAUCCGCCGCUCUCUUAUCAUCUUCAUCACUCAACAGGUACCACCACCCUACGCCAUUGCUUCUUUCUUCGUCUUCGUUUCAAAGCUUUUCAUUUCUGCAGAUUUCCCCCCACCUCAUCUCUGUUUUUCACUGCAUUUUCCCGAUUCGUUGCUCGCUAAAUCCUUCUUCGUCAAUCGAUUCUCCAUCUGUCUUGCGGGGACCGGUGAGUGUCAGAUCGACGAUGAUAGCACAUCGUCUCGUUCUAUCUUUGAUUUCCUCCCCUCUUUUAUCUCCUCUUCCAAUUCGUCAAAAACUUCAAAUGUUUGUUUGACUAAUCUGUCGUCGAUCUUAUCGCCUGAUUGUGGAUUUCUGCAUCCGAUGAUUAUAACCGGAGGUAAACCAGCGGCAAUUGUUUAUAUCCAGCUUGAAGCUUAAGAGCAAUGCUGGUACCUUCUGAUCGGGACUCUCCUCUGCUCUUGUAACCUCUCUUCAUCGAUGAUGGCUUACAUCACCGAUUCACCAUUUGAUUUUGAAUCUCUCCCAAUCUGAACUGCAUUUAGAACUCUCUUCAGCUGGAUUGUAGGUAAAUGAAAACGAAAAAUAAAAUAAAAUAAUAUAUUUAAAAUUACACGAACUAUCUUUGCUUCUUUCCUUUCUUUCAGGCAAGUUGUUUGGAUUUGAAUUUUUUUAAUAGAAAUAUAUCUUGAUUCCAUCCACUUGAUGCUUUAUGCGUACUUUUUACCCAGUCAUGUGGUUUAUCAUUCAUACGAACCAAGUUGCUUAGUUCGGGACGUCGUGGCGUGAGCCAUCGUCACAAUAACCAUUGCGAUUUUUCAUUAAAAUAUUAGAACAGCAGAUUCAAACUCAGUCCACUUCAGGUUAAAUUUAGUGGUAGGUGACAGUGGGGUUUGCUUUUCUUCUAUUAAAGAAUUGAAGGGUGAUGGUCUUGAUGCAAUCUCUCUGAGUUUGAAAAAAUAUCUUUUUCUUUUGGAAUGAUUGAUCGUCUCUUACUAUUGUUUGAACAUUACACGUGACAUUGGUGUGAUGAACUGUAACAGGGCCAAUAAGAGAUUUGUUUCUGUGCUCUGAAUUUUCUUUCUUUCUUUGAAUCUGGAAAGUCAAUAAUACUGAUAUGUUACCCUAAAGUGAUCAAUGGAUUUUCUAUUCUUAGAAAGCCUGAUUUUUUUGGGGGAAAGGGUUCAGAAUUGAGAUUGCAACACUGUACCAAACAUUGUAUGUUAUUCAAUAGGGGUUAGAUUCUGAGCUUCUUGGUCUGUGACUUUCAUAAGAGAGAAUUUAAUUCUCGUAAAUGGUCAUUUUCAAUUAUACUUGCUGUGGCCUGCAUAUAUCUACCUUGCCGCUAUGCUUACAGCAUGCUGUUAUUUUGAAUGUAACCUGAUUUGUGGAAUUUAGCUUACUUUUAAACUUACUAAUAAUUAGAUUCGUAUCAGGAUAGCACUACUUGCUUAAACUGACUAUAAAAACACAAGUCUCCCAUGGUUGUACGCUUGUCCUGGUUCAAUACGCAACUUCAGAGAGACAUUUUUUCUGACGACGAUUGAUAAAGACGGUAAACUGUCUCGUGGAACCGAGAGUAGUUGUUUCCUCUCAAAUUUGAACCUUAACGUUUCUGCAUCGGAUAUUCUCGAUUUGGGGAGGGCAUUAUCCUUGUUGUUACAGUAUAUCUAUUGGUAUCCUAGGCAUUGUAAAAUAAGAUUGUCCUUUGUAACCUAAAUUGUAACGGUUGUUUCCCAAUACUCCAAACACCUCAACUCUGUGAUUCUGUGCUUACAGUGUUUCUUUCCAUCAAUUCAAAAACUUGAUCUUUUCUUCUGUUGCAAAACUUCUGCAGGUGCUGUUGAUAAAGCAAGAAUGGGUGCUGGCGGAAGAAUGGCCGUGCCUCCAUCGAACAAGGCGGACUCCGAAACCUUUAAGCGGUCUCCUUACUCAAAACCUCCCUUCACUCUUGGUGAGAUCAAGAAAGCCGUCCCUCCACACUGCUUCAAAAGGUCCAUCCCCCGCUCGUUCUCCUACGUGGCUUAUGACCUCACCAUAGCCGCCAUCUUCUACUACAUCGCCACCACUUACAUCCACCUCCUCCCCAAUCCUCUCUCCUACGUGGCGUGGCCGAUCUACUGGGCCUGCCAAGGCUGCGUCCUCACUGGUGUCUGGGUCCUAGCCCACGAAUGCGGUCACCAUGCCUUCAGCGACUACCAAUGGCUCGACGACUUGGUCGGCUUUGUCCUCCACUCAUGCCUCAUGGUACCCUACUUCUCGUGGAAGCACAGCCACCGUCGCCACCACUCCAAUACUGGGUCCCUCGAACGA